CCUUGACAUCCAGAGAACUUAGCAGAGAUGCUUUGGUGCCUUCGGGAACUCUGAGACAGGUGCUGCAUGGCUGUCGUCAGCUCGUGUUGUGAAAUGUUGGGUUAACGUCCGCAACGAGCGCAACCCUUAUCCUUUGUUGCCAGCGGUUCGGCCGGGAACUCAAAGGGGACUGCCGGUGAUAAACCGGAGGAAGGUGGGGAUGACGUCAAGUCAUCAUGGCCCUUACGGCCAGGGCUACACACGUGCUACAAUGGCGCAUACAAAGAGAAGCGACCUCGCGAGAGCAAGCGGACCUCAUAAAGUGCGUCGUAGUCCGGAUUGGAGUCUGCAACUCGACUCCAUGAAGUCGGAAUCGCUAGUAAUCGUAGAUCAGAAUGCUACGGUGAAUACGUUCCCGGGCCUUGUACACACCGCCCGUCACACCAUGGGAGUGGGUUGCAAAAGAAGUAGGUAGCUUAACCUUCGGGAGGGCGCUUACCACUUUGUGAUUCAUGACUGGGGUGAAGUCGUAACAAGGUAAGCGUAGCGAG
rnacentral:rRNA from 1 species